AGUGAACGUUGGCGGCGUGGAUUAGGCAUGCGAGUCGAGCGAGAACCGUAGCAAUACGGGGACAGCGGCGAAAGGGACAGCAAUAUGUAGGUACCUACCCUCGGGUCCGGGAUAGCUGCGGGAAACUGCAGGUAAUACCGGAUGACAUCCCCGGAUCAAAGGUGUGAUUCCGCCCGGGGAGGGGCCUGCAUCCUAUUAGCUAGUUGGCGGGGUAACGGCCCACCAAGGCGACGGUGGGUAGCGGGUGUGAGAGCACGACCCGCGUCAUUGGGACUGAGACACGGCCCAGACACCGACGGGUGGCUGCAGUCGAGAAUCUUCGGCAAUGGGGGAAACCCUGACCGAGCGACGCCGCGUGCGGGAUGAAGGCCUUCGGGUUGUAAACCGCUGUCGUAGAGGAGGAAAUGCAGUGGGGUUCUCCCCUCUGUUUGACCUAGUCUAGGAGGAAGGACGGGCUGAGUUCGUGCCAGCCGCCGCCGUAACAC
rnacentral:rRNA from 1 species